GCUUGUGGAAACGGCCACCGCGGGGUUGGCGGACCCGGGAAGGAGCAAAGAUGGCGGAGUGAGGCGAGGUGCGGCGCGGCAAGCCGGCCUUGGGCCGGGGACGUGCCGGUCCCCGGGAGGUCGAGUACUUCUGCUGGCCCGCACGAGGAAGAACAUUUUCCUUGACUUCCAGGUGCUUUUGUAUUCAUCUCUAAAAGAAAACAGAAUUCUGAGCUCAGGACUUGGCAAGCAUUCCUUUGUGGUCUCCUGGAGUGAGUAGCCCUGCUUCUUGUAGGCAGCCACCUUCCCUCUUGAAAGGUGGAUAUCUCUUCUCUACACUUCACCUCCAUGACUGGGAUUGGAAAGGCCGCUUUUCUUUUUGUUCCAUCUCUGAGUCACCACAGAGAAGCUCCUAGGAUGCAGUCAUCCCGCCAACUUCUCCAGGAAGAAAGAAGCAACUGACAUGCAUCUUCUGCUGCUAUUUGCCUAAUUGUAAAGAAAUUAUUUUACAAGCCGAAGGCUGAUGUUUAAUUUGAAACAGGUGCUUAGAUGGUGGUAUUUAUGAAUUCUUUACCUUUUGUUCGAAACAAGAAGACGAAAUAAAUAGCAAGUAUGGAUGACAUCAGGGUUUUUUUUUGAAAUGUCUUCCAGUUUCAGCCACUGUCAUGAUAAGCACAGUUGAGACAGCAGGAGUAAAUUCCAAAUAUAUAUUCUAAUUUGAAAUGAAAGAGAUGCUAAACAAUUACACAUAUACCUAAAUCCUGGCUUGUCCUGUGACAUAGAUGUACUGGAUAAGAACAAAGGUCCAAUUUUGCAAUAAAACCUUUGAUGUGAUAAAGAAGCAUAAAGACAAGAUAUCACAAAGUUAAUUUAUAUGUGAAUAAACCACCAUAGACCCUGUAUAAAUACACAUUAUUGCAUGUGUAAAUCCACAUUUUUGGAUGAGAAGAGGGGAUUUUCUCCUAGAGAAGGAAGCUGUUGUUGACUUCUUUCUCAGAAGUCUUUGGACAUUUGGUAUUUUUAAAUGUUUUUUCAUUCUUCUGAGAAAGGACCACGUGCAGAUGCUAAUGCUAUGAAUGCAUGCUUGGGUUUAGUGAAAGAUUGGUGAAAGGAAACAACAGUUUUGAGUCCAGUGAUGGAACCCUGUUUAUCUCCCUAGGAUGAGAGGCUGCUGUAUUACAAAUUACUUCAUUCUUUUUUGUGGAGUCUUAUAUAGCACUUGAGACUUGGUUUUCCAUCCUCCUAAGGCUGGGGAAAAAAAUGGCAUAAGUAUUUUUUCUGUUCAGAAGAUGUGGUGGACCCUACAAUAUGAAAUGCCUUCAACUUUGAACAUGGAGGAAUGGAGGGGAAAAAUGAGAAAAGUUUCCAUAUAACUCUUUUUUCCUAAGAAAAAGAAGCAAAAAUACCUUAUGCUGCUCCAUCUGACUUUAUGGUAUUUUACAUUCUAUAGCUCUGUUUUUUGGAAAAGCAUAAAUAAUUUUUCCUUUGACCCAAGAUGGGUACUUGGAUGUUUGAUUAAUUUUUCUAGAUAAUAGGUGUAAUGUUAGGCUGAAAAGGCUGGGACUCAGGUAACUUUCCCCACUUGUAACUGAGCUUUCUCAUCAGAGAAUGGGCCUCAGAAGCAAUGUUCCCAAAGGUGUGGUUGGGUCAGUGUAGAUUUAGAAGAAAUUCAGGGUCUCAAAAACACCUCAAAUAAGAAAAAUAUUCCAAUAAGAAAUGUGGAUCUUCCUUUCCCUUAUAACUUAAUGCUGUGAUGAACAGACUAUAGUAUAAAGCUGCCCUUGCUUCCAUAUCAACAGAGAAUGAGUGUAUGAAUUAGCAGGUCUUUACAUAAGAAGAAUGAAACCUUUAUGAGUCUUUGUGAGUAGAGAAAGAAUUUAAAACUUCUUAGAUGAAAUUAAGAACAAAUCAUCUUAGACCAUCUCUCUGAUUUAGGGGAUGUUUGCCCAAGGCAAUAUAAGCUGUGAUGCCGAAAAUAGGGUAGAUUUAACAAAAUUUGAGUGUGAUAGAAAUGGCCGAAAAUGAGAAAUGUUGAACACUCUUAAUAAGUUAAAUUGGUUAGCCAAUUUGAAUUGGCAUAAGAAAGCUUUUCAGUCAAAUAAUUACAUCAUAGAGAUAAAAUAUAAUGUCCUUUAAUUGAGGGCAAUUACUGAGUGGUAAAGCAUAGUAGGUAGCUUUGGGUAAAGGUAACUUAAAUUUUUCUCUAAGUAACUUCACAGCCACUUCCUUAAGUUUUCUUUUGGUAUUUUGGAAUUGUUAAAAAUAGAAUGGAACCUAUGUUCACGAAUCCCAUUGGUAUGUUGAGAAUAUCAUACCAUGGAGAAUUUCUGUCUUCAGUUGUCUGUUACCCAUCUUCCCCAUGUCCCUUUGGCAACCUUUGGGGUAGGAUCAUUUGGCAGGGAAUAGCAACCCUGUAAUAUCAGCACCAGUGAAACCAUCUCUGGCUCACUUGUUUGAAUAUAUCCCAGACUCAGCUUCUCUAGUUGCUUUAUAUUUUUUCAUUUCACAGCUCUCUUCAAGUUGUCCCUGCAUCUUCCAUGGUUGUCAUCAGUUGGCAUUUAACAAAAUAGGUAUAUUCCAGUUGUGCUUGCCUAGUGUUUACUUAAUACAUCAACAUUUUUACCUGGUCUGUUUUGGUCACCUUCUUGAUGGCGAAAGCUAUUAAUUUUAGGCAGAACUAUGCCUUGAUCUGUAGCUGUGCCUACUUGCUUUCCUUUGUUCAUCCAUGUUAGCUGGCAGUUUUUCUUUUAAAAAGUUAAACAAAAAAGGGAUAUGUGCAAUAGAAAUAUAUAUAUAUGUAUAUUUUAAUACUUGUGGACAAAUGUUACAAGUUGUUUAAGAACAACAAAAUCACCAAUGUCUUCCAUUUUGAGAUGUGUAUAGUUUUGUAAGCAUUAGUGCUUGGUAGCAUAUUGUAGUGCCAUGUUAGGGGUUAGUGCAUGAGCCUAGUAAUAAUUUAAACUUUGGGUUGAAUUAAUGAUAAUAACCAAUAGUGUAAAAAGAGUGGAAAAUCUAGACCUUUUCUUUUUUCAUAAAUACCUGAAUCUGUGAUACUCUCCCUGGGGAAAGGAGAUUAAGGCCAAAAAGACUCACUUAGGAAUAGAAAUGUGGGGUCACAGUGUGAAAUACUGUGUUUGAGGAUAUUUACGCUUUCCGUGAGGUAGCUGGAAACCAGCUGUCUGUGUCUUAUGAAACCUCAAAUCAAAAUGAGGCCCCAUUUCAUGAUUCUGCUUUGCUCUCUUAGUUUGAGGUGAGAUUGUUCUUAUGCGCUUUUCACAUUGUGUAUCUUCUAAGUUUAUUAUUUUCCCAUUCCUUUUGCAUCAAGAAAUUAUUUUAAAUUUUUUAUAUUUUGCAUGUCCGCCUGAGAUGCUAUGUUAAUUGCUUAAGUGAGUGCUUUUCUGACCUGCAGACCAUUUACAUUUCCUGUCUGUAGCAUGCUGUGUGUUAACAGAACACUGGUCAGUAGUUCAGAGAAUCCGAGAUUAAUUUGCAUGGGCUUUUCCUACUUCCAAAUCUGCUGAAAUGUGUGUUGAUGGGAUUCCAGACCUUUUCAUGAGAUUUGUAAAUGUAGCUAGAUGGAGCCUACCUAGGUUGCCCUGUAAUACUAACUCUUUUGCUUGGUUAUAGUAAGCUGCCUCAGACAGCUUUCACUUUUUUCCGCUUUCCUUGUAGAAAUAAAAGUUUUUCUGAAAGCAUAAGAUAGCUUUCUGUAGAAAAGAAAUUCCUACCUCUAAAAGCGGCCUUGAGAACUUGGAAAUGGCAGUUUUCUGAGGUAAUUUUUAAAUCUCAGUAUUAGGAGAAUCCAGGAUUUAUUAACACAGAUUCUACAGGUAGCAUGAUAGGAACUGCAAAACUGUUUGAAUGUGGUGUGUCUUGUGUGCAGAAGCAACCUUAAACAAACAGACUCUCCAGGGACCUGGGUUUAGAUUCUCAUAGCGUACUUAAAGUAGUUUUACUAUUGGCUCAAGUAGUUUAGUGCCUGGGAGAAUCCAUUUCUGAAAAGCAUUUAAACAUUUUUUAAAAUACCUCUGAAAAGGUAAUGAAUGCAAAAUAGCACACUUAUAUAGGAAAGAAUAUUUCCUGUUGCAAAAAAAAAAGCCAUACAACGAACUAAUAAUUUUCAAGAGGUAGAAUUUUCGUAGCAAUAAGUUUUGCAUGUCUAGUAAGUUGCAUUAGCAAGGUUGUACAGUAGAGUAAGUAUUACUACUUGAGUUUGUUAGCUCUGUGAUCAACAGAGUUGCACAAAAGGAAAAAGAUGUUCUAGGUAAAGAGCAUAUAAAAGGUACUUUUAAAACUCUGAAUGUAUAUGAAAAUAUCUUUGUGUGAGAAAUAGCGACUUGUGUAAGUUAAGGACCCUAUUUGUUUCCUAGAGCAGAGCAUUAGAGCCCUUGAAUGAAACUCCUAGUGCUUAACCUGGAAACAAAUGUACUCCUAACUGAUGGAGCCCCACUGAAGCCAUUGGGUGGGGGUUUUGCUUUAGCAACAGGCAUUUAUUAAAUGGCAUCCUUUUUGCUUUGUCACCUCAUCUUUCUCCAUCCAUUUCCUGGGUGCAUUUUAAAAAAGGAAAAGUUUGGUGUGAGUGUAUAUUUAAGGUUAAAAAAAUAAUACAAACCAAGAACUUAGAAAGUUGGCUUUUGCUCAUGCCUAUGGUUGGUUUAGGGGAGUUAGGAUUUAAAGGUGUAAAGCAAAAGGAUUGAAGGGAAUACCCAAAGACAGUAUGUUGGUUUUUUAAGCCUUGUCUAAUGUAGAUGUGCCGAGGCCUAUGGCCUGUGACUGCUUAUUUUAACAAGAACCCAUCAAACUAGUUUCUUGAUCUGAGGAAUCACACAGCUCAUAUCAGGAUAUAAUAGUGGAACGAGGGUGAUUUCUUACUCCCUUUUACCUCAUGUUCAUCUUGGCCAUUUAGCACCUUGAAGAACCCUGAAAAGAUUGGGUCUAUGUUUCCUUGUUUUCCCAGGGAAAAAAACUAAAAGUGGAGCAGAUCUAAGAAAACAGUGCCUCUUGAAUAUUUAAUUCUUUAUAUGGCAACUCCAAAGGAUAGAGAGAAGGCUAUAUUAAAUUGAUUAUAGCUCCUGUUUAAAUGUCCUACACGACACCAUCUGUUGGUGUUAGAGACAUUGGAAUAACCAAGCAAUAUUCAGACAUCUGCACAAUCAUGAGGACAAUGCUGCAUAUUACAGUGAUGUCAACAUUUUAGUUACUUAGAACAAUUAAAGAUUACCCUUAACAGCCACGUUAAUAGUUCUAAAUGCUAACAUGUGCUACAAGUUUCUGUAGUCUCACAGUAUGCAGUUAAUUACUUUUCAGUGCUUUUGUAGUCUCAUGUUUACUCUGUGUACCUGUGAUAUGCAAAAUAUGAAGAGACCCUUGGCCUCCAGGAGUUUACAUUCUCAUGGUGCUGCUGGUGCAAGCAAAUUGCUUCUAGUUUAUUCAGAACAUUGCUUGGCUAUUAAUUAGACCAUACUUGGAAGGAUCCCUUGGCCAACAGUUUUCAAAAGCAGAGGGCUAUGCUAAAUUUCAGGGCAUUGAUUUUGAGUUUACAUUGUAUUAGCUCUGCUGUUCAUAAACUCCUUUUCCCCAGGGAGCUGUGCAGGUAAUGCUCAAUAAUGUAGAUCAGAAGAGGAACCAUUCUGCCUAAGAGCAUCUUCACCAUCCCUACACCACCUAUGCUCUUCUAUGCUAUAGCUGUCAAUACACGGCCAAGAAAACUGAGUGCUCCAGAAGAAUGUACAUCUCUCACUUCUUUCUUUUCUCAGAGUGUUUUACAUCAUUCUCUACCCAAAGGGACCAGGAUUUGCAGUUAAGCCUUUUAUAACUGAAUAGUGGUCCUAAUACUAACCUUCUUGUGUGGGACUUUUGUACCUCUUCUGAAGCAGGAUUGUGAUAGAUGUGGAGCACCUGCCUACAUUUCUAAGCAAUCACUUUAUUAACCCACAUUUUUGGUUGAAACUGCAUGUAUCCCCUAAUUCCUCUGAAUCAAGGGGUUUACCCUGCAUGUUUAUUAAAAGUGGGUCUGGAUGAAAGUGCAAGCAAUAGUGGCAGGCCCAUAACUGCAGUCUUAAGAGUACUAAUAUCCUAAUGCAUGGUUGAAAAUGUCCAGUGUUAUGUGGUUACUAGUAUUUAUAUAUAUGCAUUUAUUAAUAAUGAAGCAAUAGAGAUGUAAACCGAUAGUUUGUAUUUAUUGUUUGGAUUAUUAGUUUUCAUUUUCUAAUUAAAAAUUAUCUUACUUCCAUUUAAAAUGGGAGCUAGAAGAUAAACAGGGGCAACCACAAGACAUUCAAACUGUCAGGAAUAGAGCAUAAUAGUGCUCACCCUCUAACCUCUUGCCUGGUUCCCUUAGUCCCUAAGCAUGUUUAAAAGCAAAAGGCACAAACUAAGCAUGUUGAAUGAGUAAAUAAGCUGCUAUGGCUAUAAUAAUCAGAAAGGUGCAGAGUUUCAGAAAGGAUAGGAAAGUAGGGAAUCCCAGUGUGGCGCAUGUGAAAUAACUAGGUAUGAGGCUUGACAGAUAAAGUGUGCGUGGUUUGGUUUGGAUCUCUUAAAAACUAGUAUCUUGGAAGUGAAUAGAGGCAAUAUGCACAUAUUUCAGAUGUUCUAACAUUUUCAGAUAACUAGGCACCUCUUCUGGAUGGUUCUGGUAUUGAUCAACCAUGCAGGAUCCCUGGAGCAAAGGAGACAGUUCCAUUGUCUGGAAAUAGUCCUGAAAACAUUGACAUGUCAUCUGUGGUUUGGUUUCUCUUUUGUUACUGUAUUAAUUUUUUUGUUUUUUAUCUUUUUUUGGUAGCCAGAGUUUUAUCAAUGAUGUUUUGGUCAGACUGCAUAAUUUGUUGCCUAAAGCUUUUUGAUGCCAGGUAAACAAGAGCAAGAUUUCCAAUUCUGAAAAAAGAAAACCCUUGCCAUUUAUUUUCUUAGUUGAUGAAGAAAAUAGAUCCGUUUAUUGUGGUAGCUUAAGACUUUUGAGAAGAUUCUUGACUUCGAAAUAGCCCUUAUAAGUAAAAGUCAUCAUGACAAAUAAUAUGCAAACAGAAUUCAUUAUAUCUGAAAUAGGCCUAAGUAGAAUUCAGGAUUAGACUAGAUGAUUUUCACUAGGCCCCUUCCAGGUUUCAUGUUCUACGAUUGAAAAAUAUUUUUUCUAAAAUUAUGUUAACCUCAUUUUCUUUGCUGUGCGAUUUUACUCCAGAUACCUUUGGGAAUGUUUAAAGGGAAUGGUAACUUUCCAGUAGUUCCAAAUUGAACUGGCAAUUUUCAGGUUUUGUCUCCCUUAGUGAUGGUAUGGCAUGCCAUCAGUUAAAAUGUGUUUUUCUCCCAGGGAUAAGAAAGGUAUUCUGACAAUACAUUAUCAUCAGUCCUUCAACAGCAGUCAGUCUUGGCACGUACUUAAAACCACCUAUCCCUUGUAAUUAAAGAUUCACAUUAGAGUACCUUUCACAUAGUUUUAUUUACUGUCCUAUAAGUAGAGUUGUUGCUCACUGUUUUUACUUGCUAUUCUGCAUCUUCUCCAUUGCACCACUGGUAUAUAAGAUGUUAAAGGAAUUUCAUGAAAUGUUUAAAGUAUUACAAAAGGCAGCUUGCUUUUUAAUCUAUGCAUCUUUGGGGUUUUAGAAGAAAUUUUCUUCUUUGAUGUAAAAAAGGAACUGCUGUAAGAGUUGAAACUCUGCACCUGUGUAUAUAUAUUUUUUGGCAAUAAAGCAGCAUGGGCUGAGAAUGCACUGAAA